CGAGUCCGAAAUAUGGAGGCUUCCAUUGGCUGAGGCUGCAGUCUCUGACUGGCUGGGCGUCCUGGGGCGGAGGGACGUUUCCUUCCUUCCGCAGAGGUAAGUGGAGGCACCUUCCUGCCCAGGAGGUAGGCAGGGAUCUCUUCCUGUUUGGGGUAAUUGACUUGUGUGGCCGCUGUGAGAGCUCCCGAGAGGGGCAUCCACGUUUCAGCUCUAGCUGAGGAUUCGUGCCGAAUAAUAUUCCACUGCCUGGCUGGACCUCAGCUGUUCAUCCGUCCACCUGCCGAAGGCCAUCUCCGUUACUGCCGAGCUUUGGAAUUCUGAGCAAAGCUGCGAUAAACCCUUGCGUGGAUGGGCUGUGGAUAUAAGUUUACAACUCUUUUGGGUAAAUACAAAGGCGCACGACUGCUGGAUUAUAAGUCUUGAAAGCCUUAGAGCAGAAGCAUCUUCUCGCUCUGAAGAGCUGAAGUCUUUGCACACAGUGGAUGGCGCGGGCAGGAAGUUUUGAAGGUCUGAAGGGCAGGCAUCAGCGCCGCCUCUGGAAGCAUCUGUGGCUGAGAUGAAGGCCUUCACGCAGCGUCUUCUUUAGAACGCCAGACUUGGGGGUCAGGGCUUUGCACACUGUCGGGGUGGCUGCAUCUUCUCAUGUGAUACAAGGAUCAGCCGAAGCUGAAAUGAGGGAAGUGGGACGCACGCCCUCUCUCCGUCUUUCCCGAGUGGCGCUCCCCCCACGGAGACCCGCCCGCCCGAGUACCAAACGCCUUACAGGUCUCUGCGCGCAACCGGGGAUGGAGAGAGAAACUGCAGGCAGCUGCCCGUCUCCACGUGCGGUCCUCGGUGCUUGCAGGAGGGUCCGUGCAGCUCCCACCGAGAAGCCCGCCGCCGCCAGAUGCCAGCUGCAGCGGCAAGCCUGCCUCCCACGCGUUGCCCUGGGUCUUGUCGGUGACAGGCAGCUUUUCUGCUACAAGGUGCUCCAGAGGAGAGGCAUGGAAGACUUGCCAGCACGAGGUGGCUGCCUGGGCGGCAGAGCUGGUGAGCUCCCCCCUCUUGCCUUUGCAGGUGAUCGGGUGGCUAGAGAGCGCCUUAAAUGUUUUUUUUCUAGGGAGUUCUCAUCGUGGCGCAGUGGUUAACGAA